rnacentral:tRNA from 1 species
GGCCUCAUGGUGGAGUGGUAAACACAUCUGACUUUCACCCAGAAGAGCGCCGGUUCGAACCCGGCUGAGGUCA